AGAUUGAACGCUGGCGGCGUGCCUAACACAUGCAAGUCGAGCGGUAACAGGUGUAGCAAUACAUGCUGACGAGCGGCGAACGGGUGAGUAAUGCUUUGGAAUCUUCCCAGUAGUGGGGAAUAACCAGUCGAAAGAUUGGCUAAUACCGCAUACGUCUGUAAAGGGAAGGCGGGGGCUCGUAAGACCUCGCGCUAUUGGAUGAGCCAAAGUCGGAUUAGCUAGUUGGUGGGUAAUGGCCUACCAAGGCGACAAUCCGUAGCUGGUCUGAGAGGACGACCAGCCACACCGGAACUGAGACACGGUCCGGACUCCUACGGGAGGCAGCAGUGGGGAAUAUUGGACAAUGGGGGAAACCCUGAUCCAGCGACGCCGCGUGUGUGAAGAAGGCCUGCGGGUUGUAAAGCACUUUUAGUGGGGACAAAAGCUACGGAUUAAUACUCUGUGGUCUUGAUUUAACCCAAAGAAAAGCACCGGCUAACUCUGUGCCAGCAGCCGCGGUAA
rnacentral:rRNA from 1 species